rnacentral:misc_RNA from 1 species
UUUUCCUUUUUUUUUUAAAAAAAAAUAUAUAUUUUGCUUCCUAGAUACUUUGCACUCUUACAAAAACUUACACUCUGUACCAUGUACAGAAAUGCGAAUACACAGAGCUCUGUCCAAUUUCUUAGAAAUUGCUCUUAUCAUAACAAUUAAGUCCAAAUUACUAAUUUUUGUUUAACAAAGAUGAUGAUGUGGCAUGAAUCAUGAUAAUGAUUUACUAUAUUCCUAGAGGGAGAAAAAGAGGAAAUAAAAAAAAUGAGGAAAAGAAACCAACUACUGAUAUCUAAGGUGAAGUGGAACUCUUUUCAACUUCAAAAUUCAAAUCAUAGGCAUGAAGAGUAAAUUAUAAUAGAGUGCAAUAUCAUGAUGUUAAUGCAACUAAACUUCACUAUUUCAAAUUGCUUCCCAGAGUACAAUGGCAUGAUAGAAAAGAUAGUUUCCAAACACUUCAAAACAAAAAGAAGAUGACUGUAUACAAAUUUUGAAGCAGCUUUCACUUGUUGGGAUAAGACACAUCUUCCAGCUUAUUUGUUAUUGUUUUGAUGGCUUUGAAUUUAAUAGCAGUUUAUUUUGAAUUUCUGCAAUAGCUCUUCCGCCAGCUUUCUCCUGUUCCCAAAAGCCAUGGCAUUCCCAUAUUACCAAGACAAGGGGGAAAAAUGAAGCACCAAAAUCACAACCUUCCACUAUGCAACCAGUUUCACUGCUCUAUUGACCAUGAUACCCUUCAGGCUUUCAUUAGUUAUCCCCAUUCUGAACUUCUCUAAUUCAAGGUAUAAAAACAUAUCAUUUUUUACAUCAAUGUAUUAUUUUAUAUAAAUUUUAAAAGAAAUUCAAUUUAAGAAUGAGGAUGCUAAUCUGAUAUCAAAAACAAAAAAUGAGAAACCUAGUCAAUGGAUAAGUUACCUACAAAAUUCAACCAAAGCCUCUCGUAACCUCUUAACGAAUUAACGGAGUCCCCAAACUCUAGUAGCUACAAUGAUACAAUCGUUUAUUUUCAGACCCUGAGUGUGCAAGAACUAAUUGAAAAUUGUUUUUCCUUUUCCCAUAGCACCAAAUCAUAGAGUGAAUCAGGCCCAGACACACUAAACCGCUAUAACUUCACAGUCAAGUCUUUUGUCUACCUACUUCCUCUCAUUCCAUCUUGCCUUAUUAUAGCAGGCAUGCAAAUUUAAGAUACACACAAUUACACAAUCACACACAAAGUAUAGAAAAUAAAAGAAGAAUAAUACAAGAUUUACGUGGUUAAACUGUAAGUUUUACGUCUACGGGCAAAACAAGAGGAAAAGUUCCAUUAUGAUAAAAAUGAGCAAGAUACAAUCACUCAGAAUUCUCAAAACCUAGCCUCAAUGUGUUUUCCAAAUAUCUCACAAAUCUACUGCAAAUGGUAGAAUAUUGCAAUAUUUAUAUUGGUCUAUAGUGCAGGGGUCUAUCGGCCUGUGCCCUCCGCUACCAUCACAGACCUCGCUUUUCAUUCCAAUUAGGUCGUAAAGUGAAACUUUUGAGUCGGAUCACAAUUCGGGUUCAUAAAGACAUAUUAAAAAUUCAAGCAACAUAAAAUAACAUGCUUGUUCCCACUUCAAAUUGAAAUGCAAUUAAUUAAAUUGAGAAAAUUAUAUUUUUCUACUUCUUUAUUGUAUUGUAAGAAGGAAGUUAGGGAAGGAGGGGGGGAGGGGGGUUGGGUGGUUAAGGAGUGACCAUUUGAGGCAACUUAUAUAAAUUUGGUAAGAUAGAAACCUUGAUAGCAUUGUUGGAGAGAUCUAAGGUUUUGUUUGCUCUCUCUGUGAUGAGGAACUUUCAAAAUUUUCAGUUUUCUUUCAUGUAUCACUCUAUUGAGAGUCAAUGGCAAGAGAUGAGAAGAAAGGAGAAAAGUUAUGUUGAAUGGGGAUUGGGUAUUCCUAUAUACAAAGGCAGAAUCAGUAUUUUGCUACAAUUUCAAUGUUUUUGUUGAAAAUAUCAAUUUUAGGGAAGAAUAUAGUCUAGAAUGGAAUUAGAGGCAACAUAGAAGGGGUGUCCCCCUCCCCUCCCUCCCUUUCUUUUUUAUCUUUCUUUCUUUCCCUUUCUUUUUUCUUUUUUCUCUCUCUGUCUUCCAGCAGUCUUACAACAUAAAAGUGAAGAACUAUGCAAAGCCCUUGGAAGUCACAAAUCACAAUGUCUUACAAAGUAUCUUCUUUUUAGCAAAGGAUAACAAAUUGCAUUCUUACAAGUUGCUAUUUCUGGUUCUUCCAUCAGCAAAGGCUGGUGAGCAAUGCUGAGGCAGGGGUGAAAAGUGGCAUGAGAAGGUUGAACCGGACCAUUGUCCAGCAGAGAUCAAAUCAUAUCUUGCAAGUAAUCAUUUUUGGACUAGUUUGUUUUGCUGUAGUCUACUUGUGGUCCAAGCAUUUUAGAAGAUGAGACUGUGUGACUUGGUUAUGUAGUUUCUAUGAAAGUAGAGCUGUGUUACCUAUAACUUGCAUAGAUCUUUCCAAGCCUUAACUAUACAUCUAGGUUUUGUGAGGUAGCAUCUCAAGAUGCUUGUUGUAAUUAUGUGUACGAUAGGAGAAGACUUCUCUUCGGUUGAAAGAGAGUUAUCAUUUUUUCCUCCUCCUGGCUGAAUAAUUGGUUCUUCAAAAAGAAUUAUCCUGUGCUAUCUCCACUCUUCACGAUAAAGGAUUGGAGUACAAGGAGUUUGAUCUGAAGAAGCUCAAGAGCAUUGCUUUCUAAAGUUAACCUUUUAGAUCUGUUCUACUGAUUUCAGAGGCUGCUAAAAACGCAGUUUCGGCAUUGUUGGACAUGUGCACUUUUUUUUUCUAAUUUCUUUUUAUUGGUUUAUACUUGUCCACUCUUUUGAUCAUGCUAGUUAUGCGCGAAACUAGUUUUGUUGGUUGGCUUAAUUACAAUUGCUAUGGGGCUUUUGAUUUGUUUCUCAUAUGAAGCCUGAUUUGUAGAAUCUUUUCUCAAGCUUUGUGCUGUUAGAUUGAUCCGUUGCAUUGCAAAAUAUGCCCUGAUAUAUUCCAAUAUAUGUAUGUGAUUUGGGUUCUAUGCAAAAGUUGACCUUUUUCCGAGUAAUUAUUGGAUGUUUUCUGAAGGAUUGCUUCGGGUUCUCAAA